rnacentral:rRNA from 1 species
AUUGAACGCUGGCGGCAGGCCUAACACAUGCAAGUCGAACGGUAGCACAGAGAGCUUGCUCUCGGGUGACGAGUGGCGGACGGGUGAGUAAUGUCUGGGAAACUGCCCGAUGGAGGGGGAUAACUAAUGGAAACGGUAGCUAAUACCGCAUAACGUCGCAAGACCAAAGUGGGGGACCUUCGGGCCUCACACCAUCGGAUGUGCCCAGAUGGGAUUAGCUAGUAGGUGGGGUAAUGGCUCACCUAGGCGACGAUCCCUAGCUGGUCUGAGAGGAUGACCAGCCACACUGGAACUGAGACACGGUCCAGACUCCUACGGGAGGCAGCAGUGGGGAAUAUUGCACAAUGGGCGCAAGCCUGAUGCAGCCAUGCCGCGUGUAUGAAGAAGGCCUUCGGAUUGUAAAGUACUUUCAGCGGGGAGGAAGGCGGUGAAGUUAAUAGCUUCACCGAUUGACGUUACCCGCAGAAGAAGCACCGGCUAACUCCGUGCCAGCCGCCGCAGUAA